AAAGGCCUCAUCCUCCCUCUCCCUCCAGGUUGAAUUAUCUGAAGAGUCAUGGACUUUUAUUUCGUGUGUUUUGUUCUUUUUUUUUUGUUUGCACCUGGUUGAUGUACAAGUCCUGAACUCUGGGAGACCCAAAAGAGAAAGAAGAUCUGCAAAUAAUCAUGCCAGGGGAUGGCCUUCGGGACAGAGGUGUCCGUGGAUGUGGGGUUGGGGGAGAGGAUAUGCAGGGGCAAGGCCUUGAGAAGGAGGACAUCGUGUGGGUACAGGCCAACCCCAUCAUUACUCACCUCUCUAUUCAGCAAACACUCAAUGAGACAGCCACGGACCCUAGGGAUGUAACGAUGAAGGAGACACAGCUCUUCAACACCUGGCAAGGCAGAGACGCUUCAGUAGUCAACGACAGCCCCAGUGGACAAUGGACGACGCCAGCAGUCAAGAAAUGCUGGCAGCACCUGGAAGCUGGAAAGGCAAGAAAAUGGAUUUUCCCCGGACCCUCCAAGGAGAAUAUAGCACUACCUCUACCUUGAUUUUCACCCAGUGAGACACAUUUUGGAUUUCUGAUCUACAGAAUUGUAAGAUAAAUCUAAGAUCUUAUAAACCCCUAGGCUUGUGGCCAUUUGUUAUAGCCGCAACAGGAAAUUAUUACAGGGGAAUUGCUGCCAUUAAGGUAUGUAGGGGUAGAAGCAGAUUUGGGUACAGCGAACACUUACAUUUUACACACAGUAAGUUUAUGGGGCCCAGGUGCAGCUGUGCAAUAGCUGAGUAUCUGAGGCUGGAACUCGGGAGGAAAGUCUGGCUGGCAG
rnacentral:lncRNA from 13 species